GGAGUUAGCCGGUGCUUCUUCUGUGAGUGAUGUCCUUCCUGCCGGCUAUUAACCCGCAGGCCUUCUUCCUCACUGAAAGUGCUUUACAACCCGAAGGCCUUCUUCACACACGCGGCAUGGCUGGAUCAGGGUUGCCCCCAUUGUCCAAUAUUCCCCACUGCUGCCUCCCGUAGGAGUCUGGGCCGUGUCUCAGUCCCAGUGUGGCUGAUCAUCCUCUCAGACCAGCUACGGAUCGUCGCCUUGGUGAGCCGUUACCUCACCAACCAGCUAAUCCGACAUAGGCUCAUCCGAUAGCGCGAGGCCCGAAGGUCCCCCGCUUUCCCCCGUAGGCGUAUGCGGUAUUAGCCUGGGUUUCCCCAGGUUAUCCCCCACUACCGGGCAGAUUCCUAUGCAUUACUCACCCGUCCGCCGCUCGCCACCAGGGAGCAAGCUCCCCGUGCUGCCGCUCGACUUGCAUGUGUUAGGCCUGCCGCCAGCGUUCAAUCUGAGCCAGGAUCAAACUCUGA
rnacentral:rRNA from 1 species